AGCAAACGCUGGCGGCAGGCCUAACACAUGCAAGUCGAACGAAGCCUUCGGGCUUAGUGGCGGACGGGUGAGUAACACGUGGGAACGUACCUUUUGGUUCGGAAUAACGCAGAGAAAUUUGCGCUAAUACCUAAUGAGCCCUUCGGGGGAAAGAUUUAUCGCCGAAAGAUCGGCCCGGGUUGGAUUAGGUGGUUGGUGUGGUAAAGGCGCACCAAGCCUACGAUCCAUAGCUGGUCUGAGAGGAUGAUCAGCCACACUGGGACUGAGACACGGCCCAGACUCCUACGGGAGGCAGCAGUGGGGAACCUUGCGCAAUGGGCGAAAGCCUGACGCAGCCAUGCCGCGUGAAUGAUGAAGGUCUUAGGAUUGUAAAAUUCUUUUACCAGGGACGAUAAUGACGGUACCUGGGGAAAAAGCCCCGGCUAACUUCGCGCCAGCCGCCGCCGUAAUAC
rnacentral:rRNA from 1 species